AGAGUUUGAUCCUGGCUCAGGAUGAACGCUGGCGGCGUGCUUAACACAUGCAAGUCGAACGAAGCAACUUAUUACGAUCCCUUCGGGGUGACGAUUUGUUGACUGAGUGGCGGACGGGUGAGUAACGCGUGGGUAACCUGCCUUGUACAGGGGGACAACAGUUGGAAACGACUGCUAAUACCGCAUAAGCGCACAGCUUCGCAUGAAGCAGUGUGAAAAGUUAUUUCGGUACAAGAUGGACCCGCGUCUGAUUAGCUAGUUGGUGAGGUAACGGCCCACCAAGGCGACGAUCAGUAGCCGACCUGAGAGGGUGACCGGCCACAUUGGGACUGAGACACGGCCCAAACUCCUACGGGAGGCAGCAGUGGGGAAUAUUGCACAAUGGGCGAAAGCCUGAUGCAGCGACGCCGCGUGAGCGAAGAAGUAUUUCGGUAUGUAAAGCUCUAUCAGCAGGGAAGAUAAUGACGGUACCUGACUAAGAAGCACCGGCUAAAUACGUGCCAGCAGCCGCGGUAAUACGUAUGGUGCAAGCGUUAUCCGGAUUUACUGGGUGUAAAGGGAGCGUACGCGGUUUUACAAGUCUGAUGUGAAAGCCAGGGGCUCAACUCCGGUAUUGCAUUGGAAACUGUAGAACUAGAGUGUCGGAGGGGUAAGUGCAAUUCAGAUUAAGCGGUGAAAUGCGUAGAUAUUANGAGGAACCUCCAGUGGCGAAGCGGGCUUACUGGACGAUUACUGACGCUGAGGCUCGAAAGCGUGGGGGAGCAAUCAGGAAUUAGAUACCAUGGUAGUGCACGCCGGUUAAACGAUGAAACCAGUGGUGUUGGGCUUCCAUAGGGAGUCGGUGCCGCAGCUAACGCAAUAAGUAUUCCACCUGGGGAGUACGUUCGCAAGAAUGAAACUCAAAGGAAUUGACGGGGACCCGCACAAGCGGUGGAGCAUGUGGUUUAAUUCGAAGCAACGCGAAGAACCUUACCAAAUCUUGACAUCCCACUGACAAAGUAUGUAAUGUACUCUUCCUUCGGGACAGUGGUGACAGGUGGUGCAUGGUUGUCGUCAGCUCGUGUCGUGAGAUGUUGGGUUAAGUCCCGCAACGAGCGCAACCCUUAUCUUUAGUAGCCAGCAUUUUGGAUGGGCACUCUAGAGAGACUGCCCGGGUGAACCGGGAGGAAGGUGGGGAUGACGUCAAAUCAUCAUGCCCCUUAUGAUUUGGGCUACACACGUGCUACAAUGGCGUAAACAAAGGGAAGCAAUUGGGUGACCAUGAGCAAAUCUCAAAAAUAACGUCUCAGUUCGGAUUGUAGUCUGCAACUCGACUACAUGAAGCUGGAAUCGCUAGUAAUCGCGAAUCAGAAUGUCGCGGUGAAUACGUUCCCGGGUCUUGUACACACCGCCCGUCACACCAUGGGAGUUGGGAAUGCCCGAAGUCUGUGACCCAACCGUAAGGAGGGAGCAGCCGAAGGCAGGCUCGAUAACUGGGGUGAAGUCGUAACAAGGUAGCCGUA
rnacentral:rRNA from 1 species